rnacentral:rRNA from 1 species
GAUGAACGCUGGCGGCGUGCCUAAUACAUGCAAGUCGAGCGAACAGACGAGGAGCUUGCUCCUCUGACGUUAGCGGCGGACGGGUGAGUAACACGUGGAUAACCUACCUAUAAGACUGGGAUAACUUCGGGAAACCGGAGCUAAUACCGGAUAAUAUAUUGAACCGCAUGGUUCAAUAGUGAAAGACGGUUUUGCUGUCACUUAUAGAUGGAUCCGCGCCGCAUUAGCUAGUUGGUAAGGUAACGGCUUACCAAGGCAGCGCUGCGUAGCCGACCUGAGAGGGGGGGCGGCCACACGGGAACUGGGACGCGGUCCAGACUCCUGCGGGAGGCAGCAGUAGGGAAUGUUCCGCAAUGGGCGAAAGCCUGGCGGAGCAACGCCGCGUGAGUGAUGGAGGUCUUCGGAUCGUAAAACUCUGUUAUUAGGGAAGAACAAAUGUGUAAGUAACUAUGCACGUCUUGACGGUACCUAAUCAGAAAGCCACGGCUAACUACGUG